rnacentral:rRNA from 1 species
UACGUAAGUGGCGAGCGUUAUCCGGAAUUACUGGGCGUAAAGCGUGCGUAGGCGGUUUAGUGUGUGGGAAUUGAAAGCCCGGGGCUCAACUCCGGAUCCGGUUCCCAAACUGCUAGACUCGAGCGUAUCAGAGGACAGUGGAAUUCCCGGUGUAGCGGUAAUAUGCGUAGAUAUCGGGAGGAACACCAGUGGCGAAGGCGACUGUCUGGGGUAUUGACUGGACGCUGGAGGCACGAAAGCCAGGGGAGCGAACGGGGAGUAAGAAAGCCCCGGUAAGUCCCCAGGACCUAAUCUACGGCUACCGUA